GAUUAGCUAGUUGGUGAGGUAAAGGCUCACCAAGGCUUUGAUCGGUAGCCGGCCUGAGAGGGCACACGGCCACACUGGCACUGAAACACGGGCCAGACUCCUACGGGAGGCAGCAGUGGGGAAUCUUGCACAAUGGGGGCAACCCUGAUGCAGCGACGCCGCGUGAGCGAUGAAGCCCUUCGGGGUGUAAAGCUCUUUCGGCCGGGAAGAAAUCGUGCGGGCUAAUAUCCCGCAUGGAUGACGGUACCGGACUAAGAAGCACCGGCUAACUACGUGCCAGCAGCCGCGGUAAUACGUAGGGUGCGAGCGUUAAUCGGAAUUACUGGGCGUAAAUCGUGCGCAGGCGGUUUUUUUAAGACAGGCGUGAAAUCCCCGGGCUUAACCUGGGAACUGCGCUUGUGACUGGAAGGCUAGAGUACGGCAGAGGGGGGUGGAAUUCCACGUGUAGCAGUGAAAUGCGUAGAGAUGUGGAGGAACACCGAUGGCGAAGCAGCCCCCUGGGCCGAUACUGACGCUCAUGCACGAAAGCUGGGGGAGCAAACAGGAUUAGAUACCCUGGUAGUCCCAGCUGUAAACGAUGUCCACCCGGUGCUGGCGGUAUCGACCCCGUCAGUGCCUAAGCUAACGUGAUGAGUGACGCCUGGGGAGUACGCGCAGGUAAA
rnacentral:rRNA from 1 species